GGCGCACAACGCCCUCUUUCAGCGUGAAUGUCAUGGGACAGAGGUGGCAGGAGAAUGGUCUCUCGCCAGUAUGGACACGUAGGUGUUUGUGCAGGUCGCUCUUCCGUUUGAACACCUUGCCGCAGUAGAUGCACUUGUGUGGUCGCUUGCCCUUUCCCUUGCUUGUGAGUGAAGUUGUUAGGUCUCCGCAUACGGGAUGCUGCAGCAGAUGCGUUCCCUCAUUCAAGCCUUGUUGACGGGAUGGCUCCAGCCGGAGAGGUACAGCGAUGAAGCCUGCACCAAAAAAAAA